rnacentral:rRNA from 1 species
GACAUGGCAGGAACUUACCAGAGAUGGUUUGGUGCUCGAAAGAGAACCUGCACACAGGUGCUGCAUGGCUGUCGUCAGCUCGUGUCGUGAGAUGUUGGGUUAAGUCCCGCAACGAGCGCAACCCUUGCCAUUAGUUGCUACGAAAGGGCACUCUAAUGGGACUGCCGGUGACAAACCGGAGGAAGGUGGGGAUGACGUCAAGUCCUCAUGGCCCUUAUAGGUGGGGCUACACACGUCAUACAAUGGCUGGUACAAAGGGUCGCCAACCCGCGAGGGGGAGCCAAUCCCAUAAAGCCAGUCGUAGUCCGGAUCGCAGUCUGCAACUCGACUGCGUGAAGUCGGAAUCGCUAGUAAUCGUGGAUCAGAAUGUCACGGUGAAUACGUUCCCGGGUCUUGUACACACCGCCCGUCACACCAUGGGAGCGGGUCUCGCCAGAAGUAGGUAGCCUAACCGCAAGGAGGGCGCUUACCACGGCGGGGUUCGUGACUGGGGUGAAGUCGUAACAAGGUAGGCGUAGUGCU